GCUUACGGCCACACCGGCCUGAGUACGCCUGAUCUCGUUCUGAUCUCGGAAGCUAAGCAGGGUCGGGCCUGGUUAGUACUUGGAUGGGAGACCGCCUAGGAAUACCAGGUGCUGUAAGCU
rnacentral:rRNA from 1 species